UGUAACUCGAAGUUGUUGCAAAUUGUGAUUCUUCAUAAUUUGUUCUAAAGUGGUUCUCUUUUGUCUAAAAUAAAAUGAAAUUUAGAGAUUGUGCCUGCCAUUGCUCCAAGUUAAGUUAUCCUUUUUAUAAUGAGCUCAUGAUUAUGUCUUUUCAUUUAAUUAUCAAUGUGAUCUGUUGGUAGGUUUCUAAGACAUUUGGAGAG
rnacentral:misc_RNA from 1 species